UCAACCUGAAGAGCUGAGGGCACAGAUGCAAGGUCUGCCAGCCAUUGCUCCUACAGCAUCAGGAGCCAGAUACAGGGAACAAUUUGCGAUCAGCUUCUUUUAAUAAGGCUGAUGCUGGCACUGACAGGCUGUCUUCUCUGGAAGGUGGUAAACGUUCACCAUGUCCUGGACCUCGUCACUGACCAUGAUUGGGCUACAACAAAAUCAUGAUUUGUAAAAUACAUAAGAGAAUGAAAUACAUGUUCAUAAUAUUUCCAUA